rnacentral:snRNA from 1 species
CCCGUUUUAGGGGUAGUUACCUAUCACAAACUAAAUUCCUCUGUUCUUAUCAGCUUGAUAUCUGAUACGCUCCUCAUUGAGGAGCUAGAAUAUCGAACUGAUUUUUGGAAUAUGGCGGAGUGUCUGGGGCUUGCUCCGGCUCCGCCGCGGGUCGACCUUGCAUUGCAGUACCGCAAGGAAUAGCCCACAUAAU